GACGAACGCUGGCGGCGUGCUUAACACAUGCAAGUCGAACGGAAAGGCCCUGCUUUUGUGGGGUGCUCGAGUGGCGAACGGGUGAGUAACACGUGAGUAACCUGCCCUUGACUUUGGGAUAACUUCAGGAAACUGGGGCUAAUACCGGAUAGGAGCUCCUGCUGCAUGGUGGGGGUUGGAAAGUUUCGGCGGUUGGGGAUGGACUCGCGGCUUAUCAGCUUGUUGGUGGGGUAGUGGCUUACCAAGGCUUUGACGGGUAGCCGGCCUGAGAGGGUGACCGGCGACAUUGGGACUGAGAUAGGGCCCAGACGCGUACGGGAGGCAGCAGUGGGGAAUAUUGCACAAUGGGCGGAAGCGUGAUGCAGCAACGCCGCGUGCGGGAUGACGGCCUUCGGGUUGUAAACCGCUUUCGCCUGUGACGAAGCGUGAGUGACGGUAAUGGGUAAAGAAGCACCGGCUAACUACGUG
rnacentral:rRNA from 1 species